AGCGAACGCUGGCGGUAGGCCUAACACAUGCAAGUCGAACGAGUGGCGGACGGGUGAGGAAUACAUCGGAAUCUACCCUGUCGUGGGGGAUAACGUAGGGAAACUUACCCUAAUACCGCAUUCGAUCGAAUGAGUCUAUGUCGGAUUAGCUAGUUGGCGGGGUAAAGGCCCACCAAGGCGCCGAUCCGUAGCUGGUCUGAGAGGAUGAUCGGCCACACUGGGACUGAGACACGGUCCAGACUCCUACGGGAGGCAGCAGUGGGGAAUAUUGGACAAUGGGCGCAAGCCGGAGCCAGCCAUACCGCGUGAGUGAAGAAGGCCUUCGGGUUGUAAAGCCCGUUUGUUGGGAAAGCGGUACCCAAAGAAUAAACACCGGCUAACUUCGUGCCAGCAGCCGCGGUAAUAC
rnacentral:rRNA from 1 species